GACGAACUGUCCUAACGUUGUUCGGAAUUACUGGGCGUAAAGGGCUCGUAGGCGGCCAACUAAGUCAGACGUGAAAUCCCUCGGCUUAACCGGGGAACUGCGUCUGAUACUGGAUGGCUUGAGAUUGGGAGAGGGAUGCGGAAUUCCAGGUGUAGCGGUGAAAUGCGUAGAUAUCUGGAGGAACACCGGUGGCGAAGGCGGCAUCCUGGACCAACACUGACGCUGAUGAGCGAAAGCCAGGGGAGCAAACGGG
rnacentral:rRNA from 1 species